rfam:Candida glabrata strain CBS138 chromosome B complete sequence.
GGUUGUUUGGCCGAGCGGUCUAAGGCGCCUGAUUCAAGUUGAAAAAUACUUACUGGGUUAACAAACUCAGGAGCACUCAGGUAUCGUAAGAUGCAAGAGUUCGAAUCUCUUAGCAACCA